CAGCCGCCGCGGGAAUACGAAGGGUGCAAGCGUUAAUCGGAAUUACUGGGCGUAAAGCGUGCGUAGGCGGUUUGUUAAGUCUGUUGUGAAAUCCCCGGGCUCAACCUGGGAAUGGCAAUGGAUACUGGCAAGCUAGAGUGUGUCAGAGGAUGGUGGAAUUCCCGGUGUAGCGGUGAAAUGCGUAGAGAUCGGGAGGAGUACCGGUGGCGAAGGCGGCCCCCUGGACAAAGACUGACGCUCAGGUGCGAAAGCGUGGGGAGCAAACAGUAUUAGAUACCCCUGUAGUCCCUGUCUCUUAUAC
rnacentral:rRNA from 1 species